rnacentral:rRNA from 1 species
AGAGUUUGAUCCUGGCUCAGGAUGAACGCUGGCUACAGGCUUAACACAUGCAAGUCGAGGGGAAACGGCAUUGAGUGCUUGCACUGAAUGGACGUCGACCGGCGCACGGGUGAGUAACGCGUAUCCAACCUUCCCGUUACUGCGGGAUAACCUGCCGAAAGGCAGACUAAUACCGCAUGUUCUUCGAUGACGGCAUCAGAUUCGAAGCAAAGAUUUAUCGGUAACGGAGGGGGAUGCGUCUGAUUAGCUUGUUGGCGGGGCGACGGCCCACCAAGGCGACGAUCAGUAGGGGUUCUGAGAGGAAGGUCCCCCACAUUGGAACUGAGACACGGUCCAAACUCCUACGGGAGGCAGCAGUGAGGAAUAUUGGUCAAUGGGCGGAAGCCUGAACCAGCCAAGUAGCGUGCAGGAGGACGGCCCUACGGGUUGUAAACUGCUUUUAUGCGGGGAUAAAGUGAGGGACGUGUCCCUUUUUGCAGGUACCGCAUGAAUAAGGACCGGCUAAUUCCGUGCCAGCAGCCGCGGUAAUACGGAAGGUCCGGGCGUUAUCCGGAUUUAUUGGGUUUAAAGGGAGCGUAGGCCGGGGAUUAAGUGUGUUGUGAAAUGUAGGCGCCCAACGUCUGACUUGCAGCGCAUACUGGUUCCCUUGAGUACGCGCAACGCCGGCGGAAUUCGUCGUGUAGCGGUGAAAUGCUUAGAUAUGACGAAGAACCCCGAUUGCGAAGGCAGCCGGCGGGAGCGCAACUGACGCUGAAGCUCGAAGGUGCGGGUAUCGAACAGGAUUAGAUACCCUGGUAGUCCGCACGGUAAACGAUGGAUGCCCGCUGUCGGCGCCUUGCGCCGGCGGCCAAGCGAAAGCGUUAAGCAUCCCACCUGGGGAGUACGCCGGCAACGGUGAAACUCAAAGGAAU